rnacentral:rRNA from 1 species
UACAGAGGUCCCAAGCGUUGUUCGGAUUCACUGGGCGUAAAGGGUGCGUAGGUGGCUUGGUAAGUUUGAUGUGAAAUCUCCGGGCUUAACCCGGAAAUGGCAUUGAAUACUAUUGAGCUGGAGGUUUGGAGGGGGGACUGGAAUUCUCGGUGUAGCAGUGAAAUGCGUAGAUAUCAGGAGGAACACCGGUGGCGAAGGCGGGUCUCUGGGCCGAUACUGACGCUGAGGAGCGAAAGCGUGGGGAGCGAACAGG